rnacentral:lncRNA from 1 species
UGGACUAGCAUUACCUUAAUGCCCUUGGACAUUUUUCUUAAAGCAUGAAAAGGAGGAGCAUAUUACCUCCAGUGGAAAAGGAGAAAGAAUAAUUCUGUAAGUUGAAAAAAGACCCCAUCACAAGGACAGCCUCCUAAUUCUUAUAAAGUUUUUCAUAGGAUUUUAUAGUUCCUUUUGAGAAAACCAAUAAAACAAAAGAGCAAAAGCCCACUUUUCCUUCCACGUGGGGAUCAUUGGAUUUAGAUCUGCUUCAGAAUGAAGACUCAUUGCAUCAUCUGUACAGUGCUUGGGCUUUAUUAUAGCUGUUUGUUGUAAGUAGAGACUUAGCCAUAUUUUAUGAAGCUCAUAGUGACUGACAGAAUCAAUGUCAAAGGAAACAACCACCUGAAGUUGAUCUUAUUUUACCAUGCAGAAUACUUGUGGAAAAGGGAAGAAAACUUUUUGUCUUUUGCUGAAACAGAAGCCCCCAGUGAAAGUGUGGGUAAGGAAUGGAUUGAAGAGGAUCAAGAUAAACUUUUGUGAUGUGACUUCUCUCAUCACCAGGGAGUUGACAGACCCCCAGAAGAGUCUCCAGGUUAAUGCAGCAGCAAGAGCAAGCAUAGGUGAGGGUACCAGAGGCACCUCCCAGACAAGGCCUCAGAGAAUGAAAGGUAACAAAAUCUUAAAGGCAUCCUGAAAUCCACAUAAGAACUCAACAUUUAUUAAUCAAAGAACUUCAUCAGAAUUUUAAAAAUUCUCAUCACAGUCUCAUCUGCAUGUCUGUAUAUGAAGAAAGAGUAUUUUCCAAGAAGAGUUUGUAUGUACAAGACAGUCUCAUAAGGAGUGAAGACAUUUUAUGUUGAUAUCAAGAGUUAAAUUGUAGGCUUAUUUUUGUCAAAUUUGUGUAUUAAACAUGUAAAGUAAGGUAAGGUCAUGAUGUAUCUGAAAUGUGGCAUUCUAUGCUUUUGAAUACAAAGAGCACAAGACAAAAAAAAUAUUCUGGAUGAAUUCAAGAGAAAAGUAGCACUUUCCAGUGCUUUCUGUUCAGUAUUCUUGGUACCGAAAACCAAACCAAACCACAGUGAGAUGCUUAGGUCAAAGGUUUUCAAAUUAAGGAUGCUAUUGUAAAACCAGAGUCCAUAGUGUUGAAUCUCGUGUGCUGUCAUAUCUAAGGGUUUGUAACAAUUACAAAAAUAUUAAAAUAAAUUUUGGAGAGAAAUAAAGUUUUUUCCAACCUCUGAUUCAAGAGGUUGUCUAGUGAUGAUUUUUGGUGUUCUUUCUUUUGAAUGUUUCCCAUAAAAUUGGUAAUAUAGGGAGUUCAUUGCCUAAUUUGUUCAAAGGGCUUCCUUUAGUAUUGAAAUAUGUUAUUUUAUAAAAUAAUAUAGACGGUAUGUUUCAGUGUUCAGUGUUGCACUUUACAAAAUAAAAACCCAUUUAUGGGUCCCACUUUCACUUUAAAAUUUUUACCAUUCUCAGAAAGCCCAAAGUUAUGUAACUAACUCAACCUAAAAGUCUGUCAUUAUUGCAGGUCAGCCAAUUGUGUUCAAAAGAAAUAUGAAAAAAAUUACAAGCUGCAACACCCCAAAGACAGAUAAAACCUCAAACACCCUUACAAUGAAGUCAUACUAGAAAAAUAAAUCAGUAGUUAAAACAAUAGGAUAAAGCUUUUAGAACAGUCAGGAUUCUGAAGAGAAGCUUGAACUGUCAACUUUGCAUUGUCACUAACAUCUAUGAUUUAUUUAGUGGAUCCUGGAAAAAAUUUGUUUAAAUCUAGAGUAUUUGAAAUGAAAACAAAACAAUCCUAACAUUUCCACUAUUAGGAAAUGAUAUUCUUGUUACUAUAUGUUGCCUAAAAUAUGAAUAAGUGUGUACCUUAUUAUAAUAUAGUUAUUUCUAUGCUAAGUCUAUAAUGCUAAAGCUACUUCUAUUUUAUUUUUUUAAAGAAGGUAGGGAUUCCUUUGAAGUGUGACAAUUUCUGUCUGAGUCAUCCUGGAAGAGAUAGGUCAUUCAGAAAACUAGGAGUCUCUGAAAUUAUUUAAAAAUGUUUAUAGUGGAAGUCUGUAGGGAGGAGAUAAGGGAAUAGAGUGGGCUUUUGGGGUUGAGUCGGGGAGCUAAUGCUUCUUAAGAACCAGCUUGCUACCCUAGGGUCCAACUUUCGCUUUGUCAAAUGGACCUGUGCAUUCUGCAUUUAUUCUUCCUUUGCUCUCUUUACUAGUUUAACAAAUCCCAUCUGAAAUUUCUGGCGUGGUUCCGUUGGUGCCAUGAAUGAAUGACCGAUCUAACUAACCAAAGGGCCUAGAAAGGACUAGUUAAGUUUACAAGGCAGUAGGGGAGGAGCACAUCCCAGGCCAGCGUGAUGGUGGCGCUAGGACUGAGACAAUCGGAAGAAGAUCAAACUCAGGGGGCCGGAGCCAUAGUAAGUGUAAACUGCUUCUUCCUACUCAGUAAGUUUCCUUGUAGUACUGAUCUGGGAGGAUUUAGAUGAUAGAACUGGCUACAAGUUUCUGGGACUAGGACAAAAUGAAAGCGCCAGGGACCUGGGAGUCAAUGGCCCCUUCCCACAGGCCUGUCGUGCAGUUUGCUGCACAUGGCCCUAGUCCCUGCUGCUCACAAGGGGUUGACAGAGCGAGCCCCCCCGAAGGCACCGCUACUGUCCCAGCCCGAGACGCAGGCGCACAGCUGUCUGGAAACCUCAUGGCACUCAGGUCUCUGGCUGAGGGCAGACGGGAAGCUUGGGAGAGAGGACUGUGAUUUCUUUCACGGAAGUUGAAGGGGUAGCUACCCCAGGCAGAGGGGGAGGAUUUUGAGAUGGUCUACACAGCUGAGGCGGCGACACCUGUGAGACGUCUCUUGUCACAAGCCUAGGAAGCCGGCUGCAGAAGUAGGAUCUGUUUUAUUAAAAAAAACCCUGGGCCUUUGCAGUUACAUAAUGGCCAUGAUCGUUUUUCCCUAAACCUUUUUCCCCAUUAUUGUUUACUUUUCUUAAAUCCAUUUGCUCUAAUAGAGUGAGGACAUCAGGGCUUGUUCACCUGAAGCAAGGAUCUGUUUUUUUCGGUUUCCGUUUCUUCAAGAUGAACGAUGAAAACUUAAUCAUUUUCACUGCAGAAGAAUACAGGCCCCUAGAGGUUCCCCAGGCUACAAAGUUAGGAAUUGUCCUGUGGGCAAAUCACUCCUUCUCUGAUAGGGACCUAUGGAGCCUCUAUUCUUUACCACCUGAAACAGCCUUUGAGGGGUCCCUUUUGGACUUCUAUGAUGAUUUCUUUCUACCCAAAUGUAGGAUUGCAGGGCUAAAACGUAUAUGAAUACUUAAUAUAACUAUCCUCUGCCCGGCUGCUUUCCAAAUGGCUGUGUCUAUGUUCCUAUCAAAACUUCAAUCCUGUCCCUAUGUGCUUACCAGUCCCUGGGGUCACUACCAGUCCUUGGCUUUUGCUCAAAAAUAGUCUGAUGGAUGUAACUGACACAUUAUCAUUUAAUUUUUUCUGUAAUUAGUACUGAGAUUUCGCACCUCUUUAUAUGCUUUUUAGUUUUUUGGUUUUCCUCUUAUGUGAAUUGCAUGUUACUAGCUUUUGCCAACUUAAAAAUCCCAUUUUCUUGUUUAUUUGAUUGUGUGAAGUUUUAUCAUACUUUCACAUACCUUAAGCUUGAUAACUUCUUGAUUUUCAAUAAAUUCUGCCAAUCUGUGACUUGAGCAUUAACUUUUUCCAUGGUGUUUAUGUUAUUUAGGAGGUAAUGCUGACAUUUGUAGCAUAGCCCCAUAUUAACAAGGGAUCAAACAAAAAUUUCUCUUUCAAGCAGAACUCUGGAAGGAAAUUAUCCUUUUUUUCCCAUUUCUAAGGUAUUGUUUGUUUUAACAUGAUGCAAAGUGUCUCUCACUGGCCAUUGGGAAGCAAAAAGAGAGAGAAAAGGGCAUGACAUAGAAAGCACACACACUUUUGGAAGUUUCCUUUCAUUUCAUGGGCUAUAAGGUAGACAGACACAAGGCCAUAUCUAGCUACAAGGGAGGCUAAGUUAUGCAGUCAUUAUUCAGGUGAUCAUGUUCCCACCUAAAAUUCAGACAUUCUUUUAGGGUUAGAGACAAGGGAGAAUAUAUUUCUAAUACUGUAUACCAUACAUCCUUUAUGAAGCAGAAAUCU